ensembl:lncRNA
ACACAAUCUGCUUACAGAUACCCUACUGACUCCAUUCUACUCAGGCAGAUAGAUAAUGCUUUUGACUUUGGAUAGGGGUGUGGGUGAAUAGGGGACAGGCUCUGAUCCAGCAUGAAGGUCGUCUUCUCUUUCUGUCAUCCAGAGAUUAUGUGUUGUAGUUUGUGUAUUUGCAUGUGUUUAUUUCAGGAAAUGGCUUCCUGAAAUCCCUCAAGCAGCUGAUUGGUCGACUCCAGGGCUAAUUGGAGAGCUGACCCCGCCCCCUCGUCAAGACACAGCUGUCUCCAAUUACCCAUUCCUUCAGAAGCUAUAUAAAAACCAGUGUUCUGUUCAGAAAAAAAGAUUCUCUUUUUUUGUAGAGGAUUUUGCUGGAGGUAAAUUUGCUAGAGAGAUAUUUUGUAGAGGAUUUUGCUAGAGGUUGAUUUUGCUGGGAGUUCAUUGCUGAGAGUUGGUAUGUUUUGUGAGUUUGUUGCUCAGAUAGAACUUAUUUGAUGUCCUUUGUCUCUUAGUUUGUUUGUGAAAUUGUUUAAUAUUCUGUUUCAUUUGUUCCCAGGGGGGAAGGGGAAGGCACCUAGGGAGUGCUUAGG